GAUGAACGCUGGCGGCGUGCCUAAUACAUGCAAGUCGAGCGAACAGACGAGGAGCUUGCUCCUUUCACGUUAGCGGCGGACGGGUGAGUAACACGUGGAUAACCUACUUAUAUGACUGGGAUAAUCACGGGAAUCCGGAGCAAAUACCGGAUAAUAUAUUGCACCGUAUGGUUCAAUAGUGAAAGACGGCUUUGCUGUCACUUAUAGCUGGAUCCGCGCCGCAUUAGCUAGUUGGUACGGUAACGGCUUACCAAGGCAACGAUGCGUAGCAGACCUGAGAGGGUGAUAGACCACACGAGAACGGGAACGCGGUCCAUGCGCCUGCGGUAGGCAGCAGUAGGGUAUGUGCGGCAAUAGGCGAGAACCUUGCAGAACAGCGCGACGUGAGUGGUGGAAGUCUUGGGAUCGUAAAACUCUGUUAUGGGGGGAGAACAAAUGUGGAAGUAGCUAUGGACGUCGUGACGGUACCUAAUCAGGAAGCCACGGCUAACUACGUG
rnacentral:rRNA from 1 species